UUGAACGCUGGCGGCAUGCUUUACACAUGCAAGUCGAACGGUAACAGGCCGCAAGGUGCUGACGAGUGGCGAACGGGUGAGUAAUGCAUCGGAACGUGCCCAGUCGUGGGGGAUAACUACUCGAAAGAGUAGCUAAUACCGCAUACGAUCUAUGGAUGAAAGCGGGGGACCGUAAGGCCUCGCGCGAUUGGAGCGGCCGAUGUCAGAUUAGGUAGUUGGUGGGGUAAAGGCUCACCAAGCCAACGAUCUGUAGCUGGUCUGAGAGGACGACCAGCCACACUGGGACUGAGACACGGCCCAGACUCCUACGGGAGGCAGCAGUGGGGAAUUUUGGACAAUGGGCGCAAGCCUGAUCCAGCAAUGCCGCGUGCAGGAAGAAGGCCUUCGGGUUGUAAACUGCUUAUGUACGGAACGAAACGGCUCUGGUUAAUACCCGGGGCUAAUGACGGUACCGUAAGAAUAAGCACCGGCUAACUACGUG
rnacentral:rRNA from 1 species